UGACUCCUUCCCAGAUCUUCUCGGCUUAGCGGCUGAAGACUCACACUGCCUGAUUGCCUCGGAAGCCCCCUAGACCAUCACGGAUGCCGAGCUUCGGGUAACUCUCACAGUGGAAGAAGGCAGGAAUGUCAGGCCUCUGAGCCCAAGCCAAGCCAUCGCAUCCCCUGUGAUCUGCACCUAUACACCCAGAUGGCCUGAAGUAACUAAAGAAUCACAAAAGAAGUGAAUAUGCCCUGCCCCACCUUAACUGAUGACAUUCCACCACAAAAGAAGUGUAAAUGGCCGGCCCUUGCCUUAAGUGAUGAGAUUACCUUGUGAAAGUCCUUUUCCUAGCUCAAAAAGCACCCCCACUGAGCACCUUGUGACCCCCCACUCCUGCCCGCCAGAGAACAAACCCCCUUUGACUGUAAUUUUCCUUUACCUACCCAAAUCCUAUAAAACGGCCCCUCCCUUAUCUCCCUUCGCUGACUCUCUUUUCGGACUCAGCCCGCCUGCACCCAGGUGAAAUAAACAGCCGUGUUGCUCACACAAAUCCUGUUUGGUGGUCUCUUCACACAGACACGCAUGAAACGGAUCACUCACAACAUAGCCCUUGCUGGAGAUGUGUUCACAAUCCUAAAAACUCCAUGAGAAAGCCAACUACCAUUAGGAAAGUCAACAGACACAGCUAACAGAAAA
rnacentral:lncRNA from 1 species